rnacentral:rRNA from 1 species
UACGAAGGGGGCUAGCGUUGCUCGGAAUCACUGGGCGUAAAGGGCGCGUAGGCGGCCAUUCAAGUCGGGGGUGAAAGCCCGAGGCUCAACCUCGGAACUGCCUUCGAUACUGCGGGUCUCGAGUCCGGGAGAGGUGAGUGGAAUUCCUAGUGUAGAGGUGAAAUUCGUAGAUAUUAGGAAGAACACCAGUGGCGAAGGCGGCUCACUGGCCCGGUACUGACGCUGAGGCGCGAAAGCGUGGGGAGCAAACAGG